rnacentral:lncRNA from 10 species
UAGGCUGGAGUGCAGUGGUGCGAUCUUGGCUCACUGCAACCCCCGCCUCCCGGGUUCAAGCGAUUCCCCUGCCUCAGCCUCCCCAAGUAGCUGGGAUUACAGGUGCACGCCAGCACUCCCGGCUAAUUAUUUGUGUUUUACUAGAGAUGGGGUUUCACCAUGUUGGCCAGGAUGGUCUCGAUCUCCUGACCUUGUGAUUCACCUGCCUCGGCUUCCCAAAGUGCUGGGAUUACAGGCGUGAGCCACCGCGCCUGGCCACAGUAUGGUUUUAUUGCUUAUCUUCUGUACUCACCUUUUGCUUCUCCAAGCCCCAGCUGGAAGAAACAAAUCUGGUGUUCCCUGACUCUGCACCACCCAAGUCAGGGUGGUUCAGUCCCCCAGCUUCGACAGAAGAACCACAUCACUCAGGCCCACAAUUCCCCAAACCACAGGAAGAGCAACCAGGUUUUAGGCCCUGGUGAUGGGACAGGUGGCCAUGAGGCCUCCUGUGUAAACCUGGAACUUGGGAAGAGGCCUUGGAGCAACCGGCUACACCCAGAAGCUCCCACCCCAGCUCACGGGUGAAGGGCCAGUGGAACAGGAGAAGCUCCCACCCCAGCUCACGGGGGAAGGGCCAGUGGAACAGGGAUGUGUUCUUCCUACAGAAAGCCUUGUGACUUCCUGCCCUUUCAGUAAAGGCUUUUGUGCAUUCUACUGGAAUGUCAGGUAUCAAACCACUACCGCCACCGCAUAGCCCUUGCCCGCCUGCAGUCGGCCUUCUGGUCCGUCUGACGCAGUCGAACUCUGCAGCGUUCACCUUGCUUCCUAUCUUGUUUUGCUUCCAACUUUCCAUUACAAAAAACUUCCAACAUAGAGAAUAUUAACAACUACUUCC